rnacentral:tRNA from 1 species
GCGUCCGUAGCUCAGUUGGUUAGAGCACCACCUUGACAUGGUGGGGGUCGGUGGUUCGAUUCCACUCGGACGCACCA